rnacentral:rRNA from 1 species
AUUGAACGCUGGCGGCAUGCCUUACACAUGCAAGUCGAACGGCAGCACGGUCUAGUUUACUAGAUGGGUGGCGAGUGGCGAACGGGUGAGUAACGCGUAGGAAUAUACCUUAAAGUGGGGGACAACUUGGGGAAACUCAAGCUAAUACCGCAUGAGCUCUUAGGAGGAAAGCUGGGGACCGCAAGGCCUGGCGCUUUAAGAAUAGCCUGCGUCCGAUUAGCUAGUUGGUAGGGUAAAGGCCUACCAAGGCGACGAUCGGUAGCUGGUCUGAGAGGAUGAUCAGCCACACUGGAACUGAGACACGGUCCAGACUCCUACGGGAGGCAGCAGUGGGGAAUAUUGGACAAUGGGGGCAACCCUGAUCCAGCAAUGCCGCGUGUGUGAAGAAGGCCUGAGGGUUGUAAAGCACUUUCAGUGGGGAGGAGGUAACCUAGGUUAAGAGCUAGGGUUAUGGACGUUACCCACAGAAGAAGCACCGGCUAACUCCGUGCCAGCAGCCGCAGUAA